rnacentral:misc_RNA from 1 species
GUGGGUGCCAAAAUUGCAUAAACCAGAUACCAUCCAUUAAUUAGCCUUUGCCUCAUCGUUGUCAGCUUGCCUCUCCUUCUACUUAAAGCUAUCUAUCUCCAUCGUCUCUAAGACUUUUAAAAAAGUCACAAUCCCCCGAUUCAACAACGAAACGAUGCAGAGACCAAGACGCCGCUGCGAAGGCACUGCCAUGGGUUCUAUUGUUCUCGAUCUCCGCCCUGGCGUAGGAAUCGGUCCUUUUACUCUAGGAAUGCCUAUUUGUGAAGCUUUUGCGCAGAUAGAGCAGCAGCCUAAUAUUUAUGAUGUUGUCCAUGUUAAGUAUUACGACGAGGAGCCCUUAAAACUUGACAUUGUCAUUAGCUUCCCAGAUCAUGGAUUUCAUCUGCGGUUUGAUUCCUGGUCACAGAGACUGCGCCUUAUUGAAAUAUUUGAUGUAAAAAGGCUUCAGAUGCGCUAUGCCACCUCUGUAAUAGGCGGGCCGUCCACUUUGGCCACUUUUGUAGCCGUCUAUUCUCUUUUUGGACCAACCUAUCCAGGAACAUAUGACAAGGACAGAGGAGUUUACACUUUAUUUUAUCCAGGAUUGUCGUUUGCUUUUCCAAUUCCCUCCCAGUAUACAGAUUGCUGCCGUGAUGGUGAAGCGGAACUACCUCUUGAGUUUCCAGAUGGCACAACCCCAGUUACUUGCCGUGUAUCAAUAUUUGAUAGUUCUGCUGGAAGCAAAGUUGGUGUUGGAUCCAUGAUGGACAAGGCCUGUACUCCUCCUCUGCCUGCUGGGAGCCUCUACAUGGAAGAAGUGCAUGUUAAGCUGGGGGAAGAAUUACAGUUUAGCAUUGGUGGACAACACAUCCCCUUUGGUGCAUCGCCACAGGAUGUUUGGACCGAAUUAGGUCGACCAUGCGGAAUCCAUCAAAAACAGGUUGAUCAAAUGGUGAUUCAUUCUGCGUCAGAUCUCCGGCCGAGGACAACUCUUUGUGGUGAUUACUUCUACAACUACUUUACUCGUGGCUUAGAUAUACUGUUUGAUGGGCAGACACAUAAAAUCAAGAAAUUUGUCUUGCACACCAACUAUCCUGGGCAUGCUGAUUUUAAUUCAUACAUGAAGUGCAAUUUUGUUAUCCAUUGUUCUGAUUUUGUAGGGUCUUAUCAUCAGGAUGUAAACUCCUCUAAAGCCACUAUUACAGCCAGCACAAAAUGGGAACAAGUUAAGGAGAUACUAGGGGAUUGUGGUCGAGCUGCUAUCCAGACGCAAGGCUCUGCGAGCAAUCCGUUUGGAUCUACCUUUGUAUAUGGCUACCAAAAUCUUGCCUUUGAGGUGAUGAAGAACGGUUACAUUGCGACUGUAACUCUAUUCCAGUCCUGAUCAUCUAUGUGGCUGCCUGUUGGUAUUGUACAGUUCAAUUACUUGAGGAAAGCAGGUCUGCUUUUAACUGACCGUCAUGGUGGAAAUGUAUCUACUGUAUAUUUGUUUAUACUUGUACAGUUUAUUUUAUAAUUGUCGUCUCUUGUAAACUUAUAUACAUAGCUUUCAACUUCUUGCAAUACAAGACCCGUUACUUCAUUCCUUGGGUAGGUGAAGUUUGG